rnacentral:lncRNA from 1 species
AUUUACACUUCGCACUAUAAGUAGGUUGGUUAUGAGUGACAAAUAUUAUAAUGAUGACCAGUCAAUAAUAACACUUGAAACGUUACAACAGAUGCUCGAUGAGUGGUUUCUUCUUGGUGGGGUGAUUAAUAUUGGGGAUUGGAUACCUUGGCUUAGUUGGUUCGACUUACAAGGAUACUUAAAGCAAAUGAAAACUUUAGGGAAAAAUUUCACAAUUUUUUUUAACUAUGUAAUUGAAGAUCACAAGGCAACAAAGAGAGAAAUAGAGGAGGAUUAUGUUGCUAAGGACAUGGUUGAUACUUUGUUGCACUUUGCUGAUGACCCUAAUCUUGAUGUUAAGCUUACGUCCGAUAGGCUAAUGGGAUUAAUACAUGUAAGUUUUAAUUAUUUUCUCUACCAUAAGAUAGAUCAUUUUCUUAAUUUUUUUGCAAUCGAUGUUAGGAUUUGAUAUCAGGUGCAACCGAUACUUCAGCAGCAACAAUAGAAUGGGCAUUUCAAGAACUUUUGCGGAGUCCAAACAUCACGGAGAAGGCACAACAAGAACUUGACAGAGCCAUUGGAAGAGAACGAUGGGUAGAAGAAGAGGACUUCUCUAAGUUACCUUAUAUCGAUGCCAUAAUCAAAGAAACAUUUAGACUUCACCCUUUAUGUGCAUUGCUUCCUCCUCAUUACUCCAUUGAGGAUUGUAAUGUUGCGGGUUAUGACAUACCAAAAGGGACAAUUGUUUAUGUAAACGCGUGGUCUUUAGGGAGAAAUUCAAAGUAUUGGGAUAGGGCACAAGAGUUUAUUCCUGAAAGGUUCAUAGAAAAUAACAUAGACAUAAAAGGACAAAAUUUUGCAUUGUUGCCAUUUGGUUCAGGAAGAAGAAAGUGCCCGGGGUAUAGCCUUGGUAUGAAGGUUGUUCGAACAACAAUGGCUAACUUGUUGCAUGGAUUCAAUUGGAAAUUAGGAGGAGAUAUGAGGCCAGAAGAUAUAAGCAUGGACGAGAUUUAUGGAUUGACUACGCACCCAAAUAAGCCUGUAUCUGUGAUUAUGGAACCUAGACUUCCCCUCCAUCUUUAUUAGAACUGACUUUAAUAAUAAUAGAAAAAAGGGAAAAAAAAAAUCUUUGUUUCAUUUUCUUGAACUUUUUAAUCAGUUGGUUUUAGUAGUGAUCCAACAAGUAAUUUGAUUGCCUCAGUUUGUUGUAAUUGACCAUCAAUAAUAAUUUUAUUUUUUCUUUCAAAGUUAUCUUACUAUCUUGCUAAAUUUAAUAAUGAACUAAAUUUUGUAUUCUCAAAGAAAUGACAAGUAAUCUGAUUUAAGAAAGUAGUAAAAAAAUAAUAAUAAAAUACACAAGCCACCAAAUUUGAUGCACCUAAGAAGUUUUAAGUAUCCAUACCAUUCCAUUUUAAGAGGAUAAGCUUGAAAUUAGAGUAUUUGUAGUUUGUUGUCUAGUAAAAAUUAGGUUUGAUGCUUGUGGAAUAUUGUUGAACUCUAUAAGCAAACAGAAAAAAAAUUCACAAUGGUUCUUAUGGGUAAUGCUCUAUUUUGGUCCUAAAUCUAUAUCACUUUAUUGAAACCGUUCUUAGUAUAUAAUGAAUGUGUUUUUUUUAUCUUUAAUACAUUUUACUUGAUUAAAAUAGUUAUUAAUGAAUGAUAAAAAAGUAUCAAUUCGGUCUUUUACUUUAAAUUUAACAAAUUUACUUUUAAAAAAUUGUUAAAUUUCAUUAUAAACCCUACGCAACAAAUAAAAUUUAUCAUUAAUGUUUUUCUUCGUUAGCUUCAAGAAAGAACUUCAUAAACUAUAACACAUUAUUGAGUGUCUAAAAAGAUUCAUAACUCAUAUAUCUUUUUAUCUAACUUGUAACUUCUACUCAUAAUAAUUAAUAUCAUUCAUAAUGUACUUUUGUAUGUUUCUUUUAAAUAAUAUUUAAUUAAUGUUACAAAAAUAUAAUAAAUAAACAUAAUAAUAACGACACAACGAAAAACUUCCAUUUUUUUUCACGAAAUCAGAGUUUAUUUAGAGGAUCAGUACUACUAUCAAAGAUGGUGAAAACGAAAACCUAACGGGUAAAUGUUUUAUUCUAUUAUAUACAUAUGAAUUGUUUGGACUUAAAAAUGUAAUUUUCUUUUUAAAAGUUUUUUUAUAAGUUUAAACAAACUUCAAAAUAUUAACCUUGUCUAUAUGACUAAUACUAAACAAAAUAUAAAUAUUAUAUCCUAUUAUCUUAUAAAUAUUUUUUAUAGCCGCACAAAACACGAACAAUUUUUCAUUCUCAAACCUGAAUCAAAUUAAAACACAAAUCAACCCCAUAAUUGAUGCAAACGAUCCAUCCUUUUCUUAUUCCGAAACUAGAAGAAGCCCAAACGUUCAAACCAUUCAAUUUUAAGAGAAAGAAUCUAGAAAUUAAUGUGUUUGUUGUUUGUUGGCUAGUGAAAUUAAAGUGUUUGUUAUUUGUUGGCUAGUGAAAUUAUUUUUCAUUGCUUGUUGAGACUUGAUGACUCUUUAUGCAUUUGGUUUGACAAUAAUUUAAUCUAGCAAAGAAAAAAAAUUCUACCUUUAAAAAAAUAUUUGACUUUUCUUAAAAAGUUUAUUUGUAAAGGAUGAUUUUAUAUUUUAUUUUAGAAAGUUUAUUUGACUUUGCUUAAUUCAUUUAACGGUCAUCUUAUGUGAAAUUUAUAUUUUGUAACGAGAAAUAAUGAAUUGUUCAUGUAUUAGGUGUUCAUUUUUAUCGAGAUACGUAUGUCCUAAAAAAUUUAUUAUUUUCAAAUCUAAUAAACCAAGCUGACAAUAACCAAAUCGGCGGUUGUUUUUUCAUUUGGUUUGAUUUUAAAAAUUUAAAAAUCAGCUAGAUUAAUUUGAUUUUAGUUUUAAUCAAUAACCGAACCACGAACAUUCCAGUGACUGUUGAAGGAAGCUUGAAGAUAGAUGGAACAUGUCCAUCGAAGCCUGACGAGUUAGAGUAAGAGUCAUACUAGGACUAGAUUACUAAAUUCUAAGUUAUGUACGACCAAGCUACUGAAUAUUGUAGGAGUCGAAUAAAAUAUUUGACUUGUAAUACAAUACUAUUCAUGUAAAUAAUUGUGUUGUAGUAGAAUUCCUAGUAUAACUAGAAUAAGAGUCUUCUCCUAUAUAAGGAGCUUGUAACUCAACAUCAAAAUUAUCAAUAUAAUCCUUGAUUUCUCCAUACUUAAAAGUAUUUAAGUGAGAAUUGUAUAGUGACAAAUCAUAGAGAUUAGAUUACUCAUUGGUACUCGUCUUAUAAUAAUUGAAAGCAAGGCAAGACAAAGUUGAUUUUGUAAUCGUCCAAAAUUAUUUUCCACAAAGAAAAAAGUGACUUUCUAUUUAGGAUGAUCAGUUCUAAAAUGGCAAAAAUAAAAUUAAAUCAUAAUAUAUGAAAACCAUAAAAAAAUCUAUUCUUAGAUCAUCUCUUCUUUAAUGAGCAAAUGACACUUGAUACUUGAUACCCUAAAUUUGCUACAAAGAAGUUUACUUAUUUUCUCUACAACUAACUAGAACAACAAUUGAGGACAAUAGAUAGAUAGAUCACUUUCUUAAAUUUGCUACUUUGUCCUGAAAAGAACAAAGGACCUAAAAUGCCCCUUAACCCUACAAUUCUUAUAAAAUUAUUCUCCAUCUGUUUCUCCCUCCUUCCCCUCCCACCUCAAUACACUUGAUAUUAGAAUUGCGUAUCGGUCUGUUCAGUUCAGUUUCAUUUUAAAGUUUAUUGAGUUGGCUUAUUGGUUAUCGGUUUGUAGAGAUGCUAAAUCAUUAUAGAACUAUUAAGAUACUGACUUAUCGGUUAUUGAUAGUUAUCGGUUCGGUUAUCGGUUUAACCGUUAAGAUUUGACACAAAAGAAAAAAUAUUGAAAAUCACUUAGAAACAAGGUGACAAACCAAAUAAACUAUGCACUUGACAAGUUAUAUCUUGCUCAAAAGCAAACACUUUUACAUUAUAGUAUAACCAAGUGUUUGAGACAAUCAAAAAUAAAAGUAGGAAAUCAAUAAGUCGAAGACUUUAUAUACAAAAUGGUAUAAUUAUAAUUAUUUAAUUUACGAUCGGUUUAUCGGUAAACCUGUAAGAAAAAACUUCAAACUGAUAAGAACCGAUAAACCGAUAACAAAAAAAAAAUCAAAACCGUUAUCAAAACCACUAAACAAUAACCCAGUACUAUAAAUCAAUAACUUUUUUAUCAGUUCGGCUAAUUGAUUUCGGUUCGAUUUUGAACAGCUCUACUUGACAUCGAUUUUUUGACUAAAAAUUACUUUUAUUUCUAACAAUCCACGCUUAUAAGGCGGAUGGAGGAUAUAUUUAUACCAAAUCUCCUAUAUACCCCUAUUAUUAUACAAAUGACUCGCAUAUAUCCUUUUCCUCUAAUGAAAAAAUUAAUUUUGAUUACUAUUUUUCUUAAAAAAAAUAAUCCAUAUGGGGUAUAUUUGAUUUACUCACACACAUUUUGUUUUUACUUUUUUAUUUCAACUAUUAAUUUAAAUUUAUUAUUUUGAUGGUCAAAUUUAUUUGUGUUUCACUAAUUUUCUUCUAAAAUUUAUUAUAGAUGCCCCAUUUUUUAUUUGAUUUUUACAAAUACAAAAACUAAAUUACAAUAUAGCCGCAAAAAAAUAGCUGUAAAUUUUUUUCUUUACACUAAAGAAUGAAAUGAAAAAUAAAAUAAAUAAGAAACUCAAAUAAUGAUAAUCAAAGAAGAAAAAAAUAAUUUUUGUAUGAAAAAUAUUUAAAUAUACCUUGAACUUUGUCCAAAGGACCAUAUAUAUACCCUACAUGAAUUUUUCUAAAAUUUAAAGUAAAAAAAAAUGAAUUUUAAACAACUUUAUUUCAGUUUUGUUAGAUAAAGGGUAUAUGUGAGUUUUUUUUUUCAAUAAGAAUAUAUGUGAGUCAUUUGUAUAACGAUAAGAGUAUUACCAAUGGCGGACCUACCUUGAUCCAUGGGGUGUCAAGCGACACCCUUGAUCGGAAAAUUACGUUGUAUAUAGUGGUUAAAUUUUAGUUUUAUAAAUACAUAAAUUGACACCUUCUGAAACAAGUAGCUUAGUCUCACUACAUCAAAAAAGAUCAAUAGCGGCAGUUAAUUCCUAAUUGUCGCUAAAUAUGUAUUUUUAACGGCAAUUAAUACUCUCAGUAUAUGUCCCUAAAGCUUUUAGCGUCAUUGAUUCUAAUGACACUUAAGUAAUGCCGGUAAAGACUUUAACACUUUUUAUAAUGUCAAUAUUUAAUGCCGCUAAAAGUUGUUUUAUCGUAGUGUCUAUUGGUUUGGGACAUACAAACACUAUGUGAGGUUGUGUGUUCAAGCCCAACUAGCCUAUUUAUAUUUUUUUUACUAAUAACCAUUGACACUCGUUAAAGAAAAUCCUGCUAAACUCUAGCAAGUUGCACUAUAAAUAUUUCUCAAACUUGCUUGAAUUAUUAUAUCUAUUCAACUUCAGUCACUUAUUAUCUAAUCAAAGAUGGACAUCCCUUGGGUUUUCGUAGUGUUUGGUGCAUGGCUACUAUCAUUAGUUUUCCUCUCAAAAAAUUCAAUCAUUCCAAAAGGAAAUUACCACCAGGUCCAAAGCCAUGGCCAAUUAUUGGCAAUUUGAACCUCAUUGGUUCACUCCCACAUGUGUCUUUUCACCAUCUUUCACAAAAAUAUGGAGAUUUAAUGUUACUUAAGUUUGGUUCGAAGCCUGUUUUGGUAGCAUCAUCUCCAGAAAUGGCUAAAGAGAUAUUGAAAACACAUGAUACUAUCUUUGCUUCUCGCCCUUCAUUAGCCGUUGGUAAGCACACUAGUUUUAACUACUCAGACAUGGUAUGGGCAUCUUAUUGUGCAUAUUGGCGUCAAGCUAGAAAAAUUUACCUAACCGAGAUAUUUAGUCCCAAGAGACUUGAUUAUUUAGAGUAUGUUCGUAUCGAGGAAAGGAAAACUUUGAUUUCUUGUCUUUUUGCUCACUCAGGAAAACCAAUUUUUCUUAAAGACCAUUUACCUCGAUUUACUCUUCGCACUAUAAAUAGGUUGGUUAUGAGUGACAACUAUUGUAGUGAUCAGUCAAACGACUCAGAUACUUCAAUAGUAACACUUGAAAGAUUGCAAUGGAUGUUGGAUGAGUGGUUUAUUCUAGGUGGGGUGAUUAAUAUUGGGGAUUGGAUACCUUGGCUUAGUUGGUUUGACUUGCAAGGCUACGUAAGGCGAAUGAAGGCAUUAGGGAAGAAUAUGACAGAGUUUUAUAAAUAUGUACUUGAUGAUCACAACGCAAAAAGGAUACAAAAAUCAGGGGAUUUUGUUCCAAAGGACAUGGUU